GGUUUGACAGGUUUUCUUGGUUCCUUUUUCAGAGCACAUGAGUUAUUAAUGUCUGUCAGGACCCAGAAUCUUAAAAAGUGGGGAAUCCACUCCCACGCACUCAGCAGCACAAAAACAAUUCACUAGAAAGAUUCAGAUUCAGAUUUGACUCCCUGCAUGUGGCCUCUCAAACAUCCAGAGGAGCAGGAUCAUUUCCUUUCUCCGACAAAUGAUCCCUUGUUAUUUCCUGUCCCUGAUCACAUAAAUGAUUGAAUCCUUGUUGAUAUAAAG